UGGGGAAUAUUGGGCAAUGGGCGCAAGCCUGACCCAGCCACGCCGCGUGAGUGAUGAAGGCCUUCGGGUCGUAAAGCUCUGUGGGGAGGGACGAAAAAACGCUGGCCAAUAUCCAGCGGACUGACGGUACCUCCUUAGCAAGCACCGGCUAACUCUGUGCCAGCAGCCGCGGUAAUACAGAGGGUGCAAACGUUGCUCGGAAUCAUUGGGCGUAAAGCGCACGUAGGCGGCCCAGCAAGUGGGGAGUGAAAGCCCUCGGCUUAACCGAGGAAGUGCUUUCCAAACUACUGGGCUUGAAUACUGGAGAGGGUCGCGGAAUUCCCGGUGUAGAGGUGAAAUUCGUAGAUAUCGGGAGGAACACCAGUGGCGAAGGCGGCGACCUGGACAGAUAUUGACGCUGAGGUGCGAAAGCGUGGGGAGCAAAC
rnacentral:rRNA from 1 species